GGCCAUAGCUCAGUGAGUGGAGCAUCUGCUUUGCAAGCAGAAGGUCCCAGGUUCAAUCCCUGACAGCAUCU
rnacentral:tRNA from 1 species